AUGGCUAUCACAAAUAUCUACGCUCCCUCCUGUUGCACGUUAAAAAAGGACUUUCUAGAUGAACUACUUAGAAUUAAACAAGACGAUGACAUGCCAUGGCUCAUCCUCGGUGAUUUCAACCUCCUCCGUUUCUCUUCCGACAAAAAAAACUCCAACUUCCGGAAAGCCGAAGCCGAUGCGUUCAACCAAGCCAUUAACGACCUUACUCUCAUUGAGCUACCGCUACUAGACAGACGCUUCACCUGGUCUAAUAACCGCUCCUCCCCCACCCUCGAACGCAUUGAUUGA
rnacentral:rRNA from 1 species